CUAUUUUUCAUACACGUGGCAUCAGGUCAAAAUACUCAUACAGCUUUGGAGAUACAGACUUCAAACUCACUCAGCAUAGAGGUGAGACAUGAAAGCUGAAAAGUGAUCAAAAGAAUUCUUGUACAUCAAAGCAUGUGGGCGUGGCUAAGUGUCAAACUUUGGCUUUGUGCCAUGACACAUUAGAAUG